rnacentral:tRNA from 1 species
GCGCCGGUGGUGUAAGGAGAACAUCUCUGCCCGGAAGGCAGAAGAUGAGGGUUCGAGUCCCACCUGGCGCA